CAUUGAAUCAAUUGAAAUAGACACCUAAGUGUUUAAAAAAUGUCCAAAUUCUUUUGUUAGAUGAACUUUGAGGCCAAAUUUAGCCUAUACCAGACCUACUCCUUUACAAGAUUAUAGAUAUUGUAAAAAAAUAAAAAUAUAGAGGUUGGAUGUAAUAAUCUCACUGUUCCUUUUUUAUGCCCCGUCUACGAUAGUAGUAGGGGCAUUAUGUUUUCUGGUCUGUGCGUCCGUUCGUCCGUCUGUUCGUUCGUCUGUUCGUUCGUCCGUUCGUCCGUCUGUCCCAUGUCAGGUUAAAGUUUUUGGUCGAGGUAGUUUAUGAUGAAGUUGAAGUCCAAUCAACUUGAAACUUAGUACACAUGUUCCUUAUGAUAUGAUCUUUCUAAUUUAAAUGCCAAAUUAGAGUUUUGACUCCAAUUUUACGGUUUACUGAUAGAAAAUGAUAGUGCAAAUUUCAGGUUAAAGUUUUUGGCUUCAGGUUAAAGUUUUUGGUCAAGGUAGUUUUUGAUGAAGUUGAAGUCCAAUCAACUUGAAACUUAGUAUACAUGUGCCCUAUGAUAUGAUCUUUCUAAUUUAAAUGCCAAAUUAGAGAGUUUUGACCCCAAUUUUACGGUUCACUGAACAUAGAAAAUGAUAGUGCAAAUUUCAGGUUAAAGUUUUUGGCUUCAGGUUAAAGUUUUUGGUCAAGGUAGUUUUUGAUGAAGUUGAAAUCCAAUCAACUUGAAACUUAGUAUACAUGUGCCCUAUGAUAUGAUCUUUCUAAUUUAAAUGCCAAAUUAGAGUUUUGACCCCAAUUUUACGGUUUACUGAACAUAGAAAAUGAUAGUGCAAAUUUCAGGUUAAAGUUUUUGGUCAAGGUAGUUUUGAUGAAGUUGAAGUCCAAUCAACUUGAAACUUAGUAUACAUGUGCCCUAUGAUAUGAUCUUUCUAAUUUGAAUGCCAAAUUAGAGUUUUGACCCCAAUUUUACGGUUCACUGAACAUAGAAAAUGAUAGUGCAAAUUUCAGGUUAAAGUUUUUGGCUUCAGGUUAAAGUUUUUGGUCAAGGUAGUUUUUGAUGAAGUUGAAGUCCAAUCAAAUUGAAACUUAGUAUACAUGUGCCCUAUGAUAUGAUCUUUCUAAUUUAAAAUGCCAAAUUAGAGUUUUGACCCCAAUUUUACGGUUCACUGAACAUAGAAAAUGAUAGUGCAAAUUUCAGGUUAAAGUUUUUGGUCAAGGUAGUUUUUGAUAAAGUAGAAGUCCAAUCAACUUGAAACUUAGUAUACAUGUUCCCUUUGAUAAGAUCAAUCUAAUUUUAAUGCCAAAUUAGAGAAUUUAUUCCAAUUUCACAGUCCUUUAAACAUAGAAAAUGAUAGUGUGAGUGGGGCAUCCGUGUACUGUGGACACAUUCUUGUUAAUUGUUCUUUUAGAGACAAAGAAUUUGCUGAUUUGAUAUGAUAUUAUAUUAAGCCCUGAAAACCAAUCAAA
rnacentral:lncRNA from 1 species